rnacentral:rRNA from 1 species
UACAUGUGGUGCAAGCGUUGUUCGGAAUUACUGGGCAUAAAGGGUGCGUAGGCGGUGUCGUCAGUCUGGGGUGAAAUCCUGCGGCCCAACCGUGGGACUGCCUCGGAUACUGCGAUGCUUGAGUGCGUGAGGGGUGAUCGGAACGCGUGGUGUAGCGGUGAAAUGCGUAGAUAUCACGCGGAAGGCCAACGGCGAAGGCAGAUCACUGGUACGCAACUGACGCUGAGUGCACGAAAGCGUGGGGAGCAAACAGG